rnacentral:lncRNA from 1 species
AGAACAUCCAAUAGUCAAAGGCAUAUGCAAUACAAAUCGUAUAGCGAGAAAUAGUCCUAUAAUUCCUAUAAUAACUACAACCUAUAACUUCUUACCUGGGAAUAUUGAAGACUCAUGUUAAAAGGAACCACCAGCUUUCAUACGUUCUGAGCAAGGAACUUAAACGUUAGCUUUUUUACAUGGCACAUAUUGCACUUUUACUUUCUUCUCCAACACUUUGUUGUUUCAUUAUUUAUUUGAGGCUAGAUUGAUAGUAUUUAUGUACUAUAUUAAGUUAAAAUAUGUGUUCAUUCAGUAUUGUUGUAAUUAUCAUUUACAAAUUUAAAAAUCAGCUGAUUAAUCGUAUCGUCUUUUUUUGGUCCUCCAAUAAUCGGUAUCGGCGUUGAAAAAUCCUAAUUGGUCGACCUCUACUAAUUACCUGGCGCCAUCAGCACAGUUUAAGAAACUGAAUAUCUUGUCUAUUUACGAUGUUAAUGUAAGCCAAUUAUGCACUUUCAUCAAUACUCAUAUCUCCCAGACAGUUUACCUAAACCCUUCAAUGGAUUCUUCCAGGUUAAUUCUGAAAUCCACCUAUAUAACACAGGACACUGCGAUAACCUUCAGCCUCCCCACUGCCGCACCUCACAUAGUCAAUUCUCUAUCAGAUAAAGAGGUACUAUACUCUGGAAUUAUUAUCUUCACAUUGCCAAAACAUCAUCAUCCCUCAAUAAUUUCAAGCGAAGACUGGGGGUCUGCCUGAUGAACCAAACUACUCAGUAAUCUCCUCCAUGAAGACUGGAGGUCAGCCUGAUGAACCAAACUACUCAGUAAUCUCCUCCAUGAAGACUGGGGGUCAGCCUGAUGAACCAAACUACUCAGUAAUCUCCUCCAUGAAGACUGGGGGUCAGCCUGAUGAACCAAACUACUCAGUAAUCUCCUCCAUGAAGACUGGGGGUCAGCCUGAUGAACCAAACUACUCAGUAAUCUCCUCCAUGAAGACUGGGGGUCAGCCUGAUGAACCAAACUACUCAGUAAUCUCCUCCAUGAAGACUGGGGGUCAGCCUGAUGAACCAAACUACUCAGUAAUCUCCUCCAUAUAGCCUAACUCACACACAUGCACACUCAUUUAAACAAAACAAGUAUUUAUUUUUGGGUGAUUACUGAUCAGUUCAUUUAUACAUGUAUAAUUAGUAUGUUUUGUUAUCUGUUUUAUUUUGGACUUGUGUAUUGUGUACAGUUUUUAUUGUGGUUUUUAUAUAAUUCUUUGGGCUUCUAACCACACCUGCAAACUGUUUUUUAAAUGUUUUUAUCUGUAUUGUUGUCUACCACUUGUUUUGUUGGGUGCGAGUAAAUAAAACUAGACAGACAGACAGAUAGAGGGGGGAGUAGGGUGUCUGUUAGAUCUGGAACUCUGUCCUUAUCUUUAAAAAGACUCAAAUGGUUUCCCCACAAACCAUCACAAUCAUCAUGCAUGUGUUUCAGAGCAUCUCUGCUUUUCAGUGUUGUUGUAUGCAUUCAGCUGUUUCCUUUGGUGAUGAGUGGUGACCUCAGGAAUAAAGAUUGUCCUCUGUCUGUCUCUCUCUCUCUCUCUCUCUCUCUGUAUGUGUGUCUUUCUCUGUGUCUCUCUUUCCCUCUCUCUCUCUCAGGUCUGGAGCUGAACGGGAUGGGGGUUGAUAAAGGGGAGACUCCUCCUCCCCUGCCCGUGAAGGGCAUCUCUGCUGAUUAUGGGAACCUGCUAGGAGAUAAUCAAGACUUGACGAGUCCCUCCACCCCUCCCCUGACACACCAUCAAAGGCAUCUGCCACCACCUCUUCCCAGCAAGACCCCUCCUCCCCCUCCUCCUAAGACCACCAGGAAACAAGCCUCCAUCGAUUCAGGAAUUGUACAAUGAACAAUGACAUUAAGACACCCGAUAUAAAAAAACAAGGUUCUUUCCCCUCUGUAAUCUCUUCCCCCCAUGCGUUCCAAAAUGGCGGCCUAUUUCCAAUAGUGCACUACUUUGGACUACUUUUGACCAUAGGGCUCUGGUCAAACGUAGGGCCACUAUAUAGUGAAGAGUGUGCCAUUUGGGGAAACAGCAACAGUCUGACCAGGAGUGAAAGAAGAGUAUCUCACUCAGGUAACACUCCUUAUUGAGCCACUCAUUUUGGCUGUGUCCCAAACGGCACCCUAUUCCCAAUAUAGUGCACUACUUUUGACCACGGCCCCGAUAAGGCUCUGGUAAAUAGUAGUUCACUACGUAGGGAAUAGGGUGCCAUUUGGGGCAGAGCCUCAUUGGAUUCUUUCAUUUUUGCCUCAAGUGUGAUGAUGCGGUCUACUUUACCGUAGGUAGAUAGGUGAAUCAGUUUCACAUGAUUACUGGUCACUGAAUUUAUUGAUGCUAUCUAUCAUCUAUGACUCUAUUCUCCACUUGAUACCACUUAGUUCAGGCCUUUGUAAUGCUAUGAGGUCGUGUUCCACCUAUAGAAUUAGAAUGAGUGAAAUGAAUAUAGAAUCAGAACCAGGUGAAUGAAGCGUUCUCUGGUUCUGUCUUUUACACUUUGACCAAUAGACAGGCUGGUGAGUGACGACCAACGUUCUGACCCUUCCCACCUGCUCUUAGAAACCGGGGAGCACAUAGUAACAGAAACAUGCUUUUUAUUCUGUGGUUUAUCUUUUGUAUCCAUAGUUACAGAAAACAUCAUUUUAUUCAGUGGUUUAUCUUUUUUUAUCCGUAUUCCCGCUUUGUACAGAGGUUUGUAUAUAGGAUUUCAUUUUUUAUGUGGAAUUUAUCAUUACUUUUUUUGUAUUAACAUUGCAUUAGAUUAACUGGUUUUCAUUUAUAUCCCCC